rnacentral:rRNA from 1 species
AUUGAACGCUGGCGGCAUGCCUUACACAUGCAAGUCGAACGGUAACAGGUCUUCGGAUGCUGACGAGUGGCGAACGGGUGAGUAAUACAUCGGAACGUGCCCGAUCGUGGGGGAUAACGAAGCGAAAGCUUUGCUAAUACCGCAUACGAUCUCAGGAUGAAAUCAGGGGACCGCAAGGCCUUGCGCUCACGGAGCGGCCGAUGGCAGAUUAGGUAGUGGGUGGGAUAAAAGCUUACCAAGCCGACGAUCUGUAGCUGGUCUGAGAGGAAGACCAGCCACACUGGGACUGAGACACGGCCCAGACUCCUACGGGAGGCAGCAGUGGGGAAUUUUGGACAAUGGGCGCAAGCCUGAUCCAGCCAUGCCGCGUGCAGGAUGAAGGCCUUCGGGUUGUAAACUGCUUUUGUACGGAACGAAAAGACUCUGGUUAAUACCUGGGGUCCAUGACGGUACCGUAAGAAUAAGCACCGGCUAACUACGUGCCAGCAGCCGCCGUAACAC